GUGUCAGCCGCCGCGGUAAUACGUAGGGGGCAAGCGUUGUCCGGAAUUAUUGGGCGUAAAGGGCUCGUAGGCGGUUUGUCGCGUCGGGAGUGAAAACACGGGGCUUAACCCCGUUCCUGCUUCCGAUACGGGCAGACUAGAGGUAUGCAGGGGAGAACGGAAUUCCUGGUGUAGCGGUGAAAUGCGCAGAUAUCAGGAGGAACACCGUUGGCGAAGGUGGUUCUCUGGGCAUGUCCUGACGCUGAGGAGCGAAAGUGUGGGGAGCGAACAGGAUUAGAUACCCUGGUAGUCC
rnacentral:rRNA from 1 species